rnacentral:rRNA from 1 species
UACGUAGGUGGCAAGCGUUAUCCGGAAUUAUUGGGCGUAAAGAGCGCGCAGGUGGUUGAUUAAGUCUGAUGUGAAAGCCCACGGCUUAACCGUGGAGGGUCAUUGGAAACUGGUCGACUUGAGUGCAGAAGAGGGAAGUGGAAUUCCAUGUGUAGCGGUGAAAUGCGUAGGGAUAUGGAGGAACACCAGUGGCGAGGGCGGCUUCCUGGUCUGUAACUGACACUGAGGCGCGAAAGCGUGGGGAGCAAACAGGAUUAGAUACCCCUGUA